AUGGGUGUAGCUCAGUGGCAGAGCUCAUGCUUAGUGUGCAUGAGGACCCAGGUUCAAUCUCUAGUACCUUUA
rnacentral:tRNA from 1 species